UUGUAUGCCUGGUGUCCCCUUA
rnacentral:miRNA from 1 species